GGUUAAAAAGCUCGUAGUUGGAUUUCUGUUGAAGUCAGCCGGUGCACACUUCGUGUGUUAUUUGGCCUGGCUUUGGCAUCCUCUGGGGGAACGUCUCUGGCCUUAAUUGGACAGGGCGAGAUUCCAGACUUUUACUUUGCGGAAAUUAGAGUGUUCACAGCAGGCAAGUGCUUUGAAUACAUUAGCAUGGAAUAAUAAUAUAGGACCUUCGUUCUAUUUUGUUGGUUUCUAGGACUUAGGUAAUGAUUAAUAGGGACAAUUGGGGGCAUUCGUAUUAACGCGUCAGAGGUGGAAUUCUUGGAUUGCGUUACGACGAACUACUGCGAAAGCAUUUGCCAAAGAUGUUUUCAUUGAUCAAGAACGAAAGUAUGGGGAUCGAAGACGCUUAGAUACCGUCGUAGUCUAUACCAUAAACUAUGCCAACUAGGGAUGUGACGGGUACUCUUUUAUGGCUCGUUGCGCACCUUAUGAGAAAUCAAAGUUUUUGGGUCCGGGGGGAU
rnacentral:rRNA from 1 species